rnacentral:rRNA from 1 species
UACGUAGGGUGCAAGCGUUGUCCGGAAUUAUUGGGCGUAAAGAGCUCGUAGGCGGUUUGUCGCGUCUGCUGUGAAAAUCCAGGGCUUAACCCUGGACCUGCAGUGGGUACGGGCAGACUAGAGUGCGGUAGGGGAGAUCGGAAUUCCUGGUGUAGCGGUGAAAUGCGCAGAUAUCAGGAGGAACACCGAUGGCGAAGGCAGGUCUCUGGGCCAUAACUGACGCUGAGAAGCGAAAGCAUGGGGAGCGAACAGG